rnacentral:tRNA from 1 species
AAAAACUUAGUUAAUAAAUAAUACUAGUUUGUCAAGCUAGAGUUACAAUAAGUAGUUUUUA